rnacentral:snRNA from 1 species
GGGCUCACUUCAGCAGCACAUAUACUAAAAUUGAAAUAACACAGAGAAGAUUAGCAUGGCCCCUGCACAAGGAUGACACACAAAUUCGUGAAGCACUCCAUUUUUUA